rnacentral:rRNA from 1 species
GACGAACGCUGGCGGCGUGCUUAACACAUGCAAGUCGAACGGAAAGGCCCUGCUUGCAGGGUACUCGAGUGGCGAACGGGUGAGUAACACGUGGGUGAUCUGCCCUGCACUUCGGGAUAAGCCUGGGAAACUGGGUCUAAUACCGGAUAGGAGCCAUUUUUAGUGUGAUGGUUGGAAAGUUUUUUCGGUGUAGGAUGAGCUCGCGGCCUAUCAGCUUGUUGGUGGGGUAAUGGCCUACCAAGGCGGCGACGGGUAGCCGGCCUGAGAGGGUGGACGGCCACAGUGGGACUGAGAUACGGCCCAGACUCCUACGGGAGGCAGCAGGGGGGAAUAUUGCACAAUGGGCGCAAGCCUGAUGCAGCGACGCCGCGUGGGGGAUGACGGCCUUCGGGUUGGAAACUCCUUUCGCUAGGGACGAAGCUUUUUGUGACGGUACCUAGAGAAGAAGCACCGGCUAACUACGUG